rnacentral:rRNA from 1 species
UACGGAGGAUGCAAGCGUUAUCCGGAAUGAUUGGGCGUAAAGCGUCCGCAGGUGGCAAUGUAAGUCUGCUGUCAAAGCGUCUGGCUCAACCAGAUAAAGGCAGUGGAAACUACAUAGCUAGAGUAAGGUAGGGGUAGAGGGAAUUCCUGGUGUAGCGGUGAAAUGCGCAGAUAUCGGGAAGAACACCCGUGGCGAAGGCGGCUCUCUGGGACGGUACUGACGCUGAGACGCGAAAGCGUGGGGAGCGAACAGG